CUGGUUGAUCCUGCCAGACCCGACUGCUAUCGGAUUGGGACUAAGCCAUGCGAGUCAACUCCGCAAGGGGUGGCGCACGGCUCAGUAACACGUAGUCAACCUACCCUGGGGACGGGGAUAACCUCGGGAAACUGAGGCUAAACCCCGAUGGGCCAUGGCUCCUGGAAUGGGCUAUGGCUGAAAUCUACAUGGCCCCAGGAUGGGACUGCGGCCGAUCAGGUUGUUGGUGGGGUAAUGGCCCACCAAGCCUAUAACCGGUGCGGGCUCUGAGAGGAGGAGCCCGGAGAUGGGCACUGAGACAAGGGCCCAGGUCCUAUGGGGCGCAGCAGGCGCGAAACCUCCGCAAUGGGCGAAAGCCCGACGGGGUCAGUCCGAGUGGUUCCCGCUGAGGGAACCUUUUGCCAGCUGUAAACAGGCUGGCGAAUAAGGGGUGGGCAAGUUUGGUGUCAGCCGCCGCGGUAAUACCAGCACCCCGAGUGGUCGGGACGAUUAUUGGGCCUAAAGCAUCCGUAGCCGGCCCAGUAAGUCCUCCGUUAAAUCCAACGGCUCAACCGUUGGGCUGCGGGGGACACUGCUGGGCUAGGGGACGGGAGAGGCGAGGGGUAUUCCCGGGGUAGGGGUAAAAUCCACUGAUCCCGGGAGGACCACCAGUGGCGAAGGCGCCUCGCUAGAACGUGCCCGACGGUGAGGGAUGAAAGCUGGGGGAGCGAACCGGAUUAGAUACCCGGGUAGUCCCAGCCGUAAACGAUGUAGGCUCGGUGUUGGGCUGCCUCAGUGGCAGCCCAGUGCCGCAGGGAAGCCGUUAAGCCUACCGCCUGGGGAGUACGGCCGCAAGGCUGAAACUUAAAGGAAUUGGCGGGGGAGCACCAC
rnacentral:rRNA from 1 species